rnacentral:tRNA from 1 species
GCGUGGCUUUGUGGUCAAGACACCAGGCUAGUAAGCUGAGGGUCGCAGGUUCGAACCCGGG